UUUGGCUGAGAAAUAUGAGGGAUGUGGAAAGACUAUCAACUGUGGGCGAUGUAACGAGCGUGGAUUAUUCUGUUUCCUUCGUCUCUACAUCUCUUUGGAUGAGAACUAUGAGGAAUGUGGAAAGAUUAUCAAGUGAUCUUCACAGCUAUCUCUCCAUUCUCGAAUGGCUACAUUUUAUGGGUACUGGAACUUGCCAGAGGAUGGCUUCUUUCCCUGCUCCAAGUAUUCGGCACAAUGCAAUUUCAAAUUCUGAAAGAUUGAUGCUCAAAACUCAGUGGUGACUAUUUGCACCUCAUCCAAGAUAUCCAGCUCAUCGUAGUUGAUUGAGUUCGGGUAAUAUAAGAAGAUAUCUCUCCAAUGUCUAAUUUUUGUCCUUCAGGUGGAAAGGAGCAAUAAGGAAGACUAUGAUUUGUCCAAAUUCUGGGAUAUUUCUACGCAAGAUUCUGAAAGAUCAAUGCUCAAAACUCACUGGCAACUAUUGGCCCCUCAUCCAAGAGAUCCCUCCCUUCUACAUUGAUGGUGUUCAAAUCCGAUGAAUUGAAAUUGAUCACACCCGAGCCAUGACAAAUGAUUUAUCCCCAUUGACUACUUUUCCUUCUUCAAGUUUUUGGAUGAGAAAUAUGAGGAAUGUGGAAAGACCAUCAACCGUGGAGGAUGUAUGAUGCAUGGAGUCUUCUGUUUCCUUCCUCUCUAACCUCUCUUUGGAUGAGAAAUAUGAGGAGUGGAAAGACCAUCAAGUGGUGUUCACGGUCAUCUCUCCUCCCUCAAACAGUUAUAAAUUCUAUGUUGCUCGAAGUCUGGGUACUUGCCAGAGGAUGGCUUCCCUCCCUCCCUCAACGUAUUCCACAUAAUUCAAUGUGAGAUUUUGAAGGAUGGAUCCUCUUUUGUGGGCAACUACCGGCACCUCAUCCAAGAAAUCCCACUCAUUGUGAUUAAUCUAGUUUGGAUCCAACAGGAAGAUUUCUCUCCACUGUCUUAAGUUUUGCUCUUCAGACUGUGCUUGUCUUGCAGAAAUCCCACUGUCAUCUGUGUCUGGCAAAAUCUCUUGGGCUGAUCAAAUGCAAAUACUGUUGAGGAAAGGCGGGGAGGAGUAAUCAGGGAGACUAUACUUUGUUGCUCUGUUGAGUAAUCCUAAAAUUCCCACUUCUGCCACGAAGUAUUGUGAUUUAAAAUUGCAAGAAGGUUUUCAUCCGAUACCACUCACAACCCAGUUAUCUUGGGUAGGCAAGUCUUAUCAUUAUCCUACUGAGCUGCCAGAGCUCCAGUUAAUCUUCACAAAACCUAGUUCAGACUUUUGGAUGAGAAAUGUGAGGACUGUGGAAAGACUGUCAAUGGUGGAGGAUGUAAGAAGCAUGGACUAUUCUGUUUCCAUUAUCUCUAAUUUCUCCUUGGAUGAGAAACAUGAGGAACAUGGAAAGAUUAUCAAGUGGUCUACCUCUCCUCUCUCAAAUAGCUAUCUUUUGUAGGUUUUAUUGGUACUUGCUAGAGGAUGGCUUUGCUCCCUACUCCGAGUAUUCAGCAUAGUGCGUUGUGAAAUUCUGAAAGAUCUAUGCUCAAAACUCAAUAGUGGUGACUGUUGGCACCCCAUCCAAGAAAUCCCACUCGUUGUGGUUGAUUGAGUUAAGAUUCAAUAAGAAGAUUUCUCUGCAAUGUCUAAUUUUUAUUCUUCAGAAUAUCUCGCUGUCUUCUUUAUUUGGCAAACUCUCUCAGAAGGAUCAAAUGCAAACACUGUUGAGGAAAGGCAAAGAGGAGCAAUCAGGGAGACUAUGCUUUGCCACUCUGACCCCACCAAGCUGCCAGAGCUCCCGUCAUGGAUAAGACAAGAUUCAUGCGCCAUCAUCGCUAGGGGGUUAUCCUUGUGCCAAUGCGUUCGUGAAAUAUCGGCUUGUGCCAAUAGGCCACAAUCACUGGUGAUCAGCGAUCCCCCAUAGUUUUGCAUUAGCGUCAUCAUUAGGGUCAUUCAGGAAAAACAAAAUCAUCAAAACAAUCACAUUUUGUAGGCUUGCAAUGGGAAGUACCCUGGUAUGUCUUGUAGAUUUUUGGUUGAAGUUGGGUGAGUAUGUGUAUACUGUGUAUGUCUGAUUACUCUUGUAAUUGUUUAUUUCACAUGACAAAGUAAUUUUUACUGUGGGCUACUUGAUUUUCUCA